CAGCACUCUAUGGCAGUGUUAGAAGCAGAGCUGAGCUCUGGGGAUAGCAAAUUUGCAAUUUGGAAACUCUGCCCUUCAGAAAUGUACACUUUGGAGAAGAUAGGAAGCAACUGUUUACCGUACCACGACGCAACAGGUGCUACCCAGGGAAAGCAAAAGUUUCCAGGUCCCCAAGACCCACAAAAGUCCUUUCUGGAGCUUGGAUCACUGUGAAUACUGCAAUCAACCUGUCCACCUCUCCCCACCCCCUCACCUUCUCCUUUAAGUCACAGAGUCUAGCUACUCUGUCGGGAUUUUUCUAAGUCAAAAUGAAAAAAGAACAAUGCUUUAGAAUUAGACCUGAGUUUAAAUCCUCUCCACCCUUGAGCUUUGUGACCUUAGACAAGUAACUUAGUGUCUUCUGAGCAUCUAGGUACUCUUUUACUCUUUUUCAACUGUGCCGGGGGCAUGGAAUUACAUUAGUCCAGCAGGGUCCUAGCAGGAGCUAGGGACCACUACUCAGGGGCUUCUCUUCCUCCUGCCAGUCUCUCUAUCCCUGUACUUCCACUCCAGCCUAUGGGGAAGAAUUAGAAACUACCUCCCAGACUGUGUUCUGAGAAUACUCCUUAAUCGGUGUUGUAUUAGUCUGUUUUCAUGCUGCUGAUAAAGGCAUAACCGAGACUGGGCAAUUUACAAAAGAAAGAGUUUUAAUUGGACUUAAAGUUCUGCAUGGCUGGGGAAGCCUCACAAUCAUGGCGGAAGGUGAGGAGGAGCAAGUCACGUCUUACAUGGAUGGCGGCAGGCAAAGAGAGCUUGUGCAGAAAACCUCUGCCUUAUAAAGCCAUCAGAUCUCAUGAGACUUACUAUCACCAGAACAGCAUGGGAAAGACCUGCCCCCAUGAAUCAAUUAUCUCCCAGUGGGUCCCUCCCACAACACGUGGGAAUUAUGGGUGUACAAUUCAAGAUGAGAUUUGGUUGGGGACAUAGAGCCAAACCACAUCAGGUGUUUCUUCCCAACAGAGUCAAGUGACUCUUUCAAAAAAUUCAAGUGACAAUUUCAAAAAAAUUCUGGAAUCACCAGAUUUAAAAGGGUAAUCUUUGCUCCUAUAGGACUUCUCACAAACUUUAACAUGCUGGCAUUUAUGUCAGUCUCCAAGGUGGGGAUACACUCUAGGACACUGUUUUAGUGAAAAAAAAAAAAAAAAUUUAAGAGUAUUCCAUGUGCCAUAAAUGGUGCUAGGUCCUCUCUGUGCAGAGUGAACUUACUUCCUGCAGCUUAGCUUACGGGCUGGGGGAGGGGUACAGAUGCAUGAACAGAAAAGCCCUUUUUGCCUGAAACAGUUAUAGAGAUGUCAAUAAUAAUGCUGAAUGGAAAUAUAACUGCAGUAGUCUCAGGCUGGAGCCUUCAGGCAGUUUACUUUCCUGCCCUCACGGAGCCCAUGCUUAGCACCCCCACUGUCCUCUGCUCCUUCACAUGAUCUCUGCAUGAGUCUCUCCUAGAUGCUGAGGUCCUGGGCAGUGUGUGCCACAUAAAGCCUGUUGAGGGGAUGGAUGGACAGACCAACAGUAAGACAGAACAAACAUUCUGAUCGAGGAUUUGUAACACCCAUAUCUGGAACCCAGGCCUUCCACAAGCACUCCAUAUGCCUAAGAGCCAGCCACAACCCCGUGCCUCAGUUUCUUCUUUUAUAAAGUGGGGUUUGGGGGCAGUUGGGAACCAAGCAGCUGGCAUGCCUGAGCAAACAGGACACUUUGGUUCAUGUGAUGGGCUGUGGAAUCUGUGCCUUGACUAAGAGGACAGCACCCCUGAGUCCCAGGGACUGUGGUCCUUCAGCAAAGUUGGGGGUGCCUGGUCUAUUUCUCAGAAGAAGACAGAUCACUAAUUUCCUAGGGGACAUACCCUCAUAUCAAUGUUGAGAAUGAAUUUAGACAUUUUUCAAAACCUCUGGAGUCCAUGCAAAAUCUGCCUGCAGGGUGUGUUUGUCCCAUGGGCCACCAGCUCCUGAGCUGAGGCUGGAUAAUAAUGGGCCAGUAUUUAUCAAGUUUACAUGUGGCAGGCACUGGGUCAUGUGCUGUACCACAUCAUCUCCUUCAAUCCCCCAUUAAUUCUGAGAGCAGUCACUCUUCUCCCCAUUUGACUGAUGAGAGCACAGAGGUUUAGGUAGGCUAAGUCUCUUAGCCAGUAAUAGAGAACAGAGUUAGAGCUGGGAUUUGGACCCAGGAUGGUGAGACUAAUUAAUUAUUCAGGUCUUGCCAAUAUACUCUACUGCCUGCUCUUGUGCAAACUCGAAGAGCGCUUUAGACCAGUUAUUCUACCUGUGGUGGUCUCAUUUCACUGAGGCAGGUGACCUUGGUGAUCUGACUUCCGUGAAUGUCAUAUAUGUGUGGAGUCUCUCCCAUGUUCUGAGUCCUCUGCAUGAGUUCUCUCGACCCCACAACAGGCCUGUGUGAGUUUGUGUUCCUACUUUACUGAAGACACAGGCUCAGACUGACUAUGAUGUCCUGGGACCCACUGCUACUGGUGGAAGGAGACAGAUCCCAGCUUAGGUCUAGGCAACUGAGCUGUCCGUGUAAGCAGCAGCACUCGAGUUAAUUGCCAGCUGGGUACACGUAAGGAAGCAGCAGCUUCAGGAAAUAGGAUGACAGAUUCAGGGGCCAAAGGGAGGGGAACACACAGCCAUCAGAGGCAAAUCAUUUAAUGGACAUGAUUGGGUCACUUGUGUCCCUUCUCUUGACUUCCAUUUUUCUCCUUGUUUCCAUCCUUUUCCACUGCACUCUGUUUAACCCAGCCCCUGCUGGCCAGUGGGUCAUUGCCAAUGCAGUGAGUUAAUGCCUUUGCCUUUCUCCACGCCUGUGAGAGAAACAAGCUCUGAAUCCCAAGUGCUACUUAUCUAAUAAGACUGCAGUUACAUUAAUUAUAUUUAAAUGUCUCCACUUAUAUAAUAAAUUUGCCUGCACAACCCUGUCAUUAUCUCUCCUCUGUAGCCCCUCCACAGUCUCUGGGUCCUCUGAGGAAUUCCCAGCAGAACUGCCAGCCCCAAAAUAGCAGGAGCCUGGCUGGGAGACGCCGCACCUGCUUGGUUAUGGAGGUCUUCUCCUAGUUUGCAUUGCAGAUGUUCUCCACUGUGAGCCAGAGAGCUACAGAACCAAAGGAGCUAUGGGGGAAAGGGAAAAACUGAGACACCUGAGUCUGUAUCCACCAUCGGCUACUUACCACCUGGGUGACCUUUGCACUAUCUCCUAACAUCUCUGAGAUACAGCCCUAUUAGAUUACAGAUUUGCAACUGUGCAAAGAUGGGAUUAAUUUAGUCUUUCUAGGUCCCAAGUGGGUCUCCUUGGGCACAAGUGUCCCAUGCAAAAUAUUUAUCAACCACAUAUUAUGUGCCAAAUAAUAUGCUCAGCCCUGGAUAUGCAAAGGUAAAAGAGGAUUGCCAAUCUCUGUACUUUGGGGGCAGAAAGCAGAAAGAUUCUAGACUCUUAAAGACCUUAGUUUUGACAACUUCUCCACUACUUAACAAAGGUAGGACAUUAGGCACAUUGUUUAACUUCAUGGUCUCUGCUGUUAAUUAUCUGCAAAGCGAGAAUAAUAGCUACCUUCUUUAUAUGUCUGUGGUGAUUAAAAUAAUCUGCAAACUCCCUUGAACAGUUUUUGUGUUAUAGCACAUGUUCCACAAAUGGAUGAAUUACUCGGCUGCUAUCUUACAAACAGGAGUCUGGGCAUCAGGGUUGUAACCUUCAUCACCAGGCUUCCCUGGGGUGAACUUAUGUCAAGUAUUUUCCUGUUUAUGUGCCUCAAUUUACCCAUCUGUGUAACGAAAGCACAUCUUUUCUUCCUGGAAAGAGCAUGAGCUUUGGGGUGAGACCAGGACAAGAAGACCAGCGCUUCCCCUUACUGGCUCUGUGGCCUUGGGGUACAGAACCUCUGAGGGCCCCAUUUGCUGCAGUCUUCCCCACUGAAAUGUAAGCCCUGUGCACAUCCUUGACCGUGUCUGCAUGGAGCAAAGCAGUGGCCAGCGUGUGGCAGGCUGCAUAGACAUAAAGAGUGAAUAAAAGAAGGAAAAGGGAUGCAGUGAGAACACUGACAGCCACUUCCCAGCUUUGUUGUAAAGCCCAUAUAAAGCUCCGUCAAUACCUUCUUGAUGACGUUCAGGCUCCAUCUGAUCCACUGAAUUCCAAUGACUCAGGGCAAGAGUGGUGUGAAAAGGGGACAAGGCAUAGCAGGCUCACUCUGUCCUUCCUCCUGGCAUCUGUGAGCGAAUGCCUGAUAAAUAUUUGUCUAUGGAUGUGUUUAGUUAUUGAUCGAAAUUUUACAGCAAUUGUGUGUAUAACAACAAUGAUUAAAGGUAAGGACAUUGAAGCCCCUGGCAGGAAAGACAUCUGGCCAAUAGUACAUGGAGAAGUGCCUAAUAAUUGGGAUGCAGAUCUUCCCUGAAGUCUUUUAAUCUGUUCACUUUACCUCGCUCAGGAAAACCUCACCCACAGCUGCAGGGCCACUGACUCCACUGGCCCCAUCUCCCCACGCACAGAGCAGCCUGUGUGGCUUUGCAAAUAAGGAAGCCCAUCUGGUUACCUUCCCCUAGACCUAUCCCCAGACAGCACCUGCUUCUGCUUCAAAGGACACACGUGCCCCUAAUUAUGUAUCCAUAAGACAAAUGUGGCUCAUUCCAUCACAGAACUAGAGAGUCUAAGGAAGCAAACUAAAAAAUGUAUAAAAUCAGGGUUCCUUGACUAAUUUGUCCAACACCACAGCUAGCAAUGAUGGGAGCCAGGUGUGCAUCCCUCAGGCUGUAAAGCAGUUAACCACCUAACCAGGUAGUCAGUCCCAGUCCUGAGCUGCCCAAGAACCGGAUGAGCUGCUUUAGUAGAUUCAGGUAUCACAAGCAUCUGUGAGCCUACGGAAGGCUGGGCUCCGUGACAGACGAAAUGUUUCACAGAAAUCUGGAGCCAGAUUCCAGGGCACAAAACCACCCACAACAGACAUGAACCUUGAACACAUCAUUCUAAGUGAAAGAAGUCAGCAGAGAAGGUUCUGUGUUGCAUGAUUUUAUGUGUAUGAAAUGUCCAGGAUGGGUAAGCCCAGGGCCAUGGACACCGACCGCUUAAGGGGUAUGAGGUUUCCUUUUAGAGUGAUAAAAAUGUCUUAAAAGUACACAGAGGUGAUGGUUAUACAACAUCGUGAAUGCGUUAAAUGCCAAUACAUUGUACACUUUAAAUAGUUGAUUUCAUAUUAUGUAAAUUUCUUCUCAGUUAAAUUUCAUCUCUAAUAGCAUACGUACUUGUAGUAUGUUAUGCACACAUCCCAUAACUCAGUGAAAAUAAUUGCUGUUGACUCUAAAAAUAAUUAGCUAUCCAUAUUAUUAAUUAGCUGUAUCAUCUUAUAUCUUAGCAGUGACAUCAAGGCUACCUGCCACUCCCUGGGCUCCACAUGUUGGCAUAGACUCCACAGAUUAAGCCUCUUUCUCCCAUGGACAGAGCUCCAGGAGUUUGAAGUCAGAGCUCCCGUCCCUAGAACAUUUUCCUUUGGUGAUGGCUCAUGUUCGGGUCCUCCAGCCUUGGAGAACAAGGUGUCGCCAUCCCUUCCUUGCCCAGGGCAGCCCUGGUGUGCCUGCAAGGAAGGAUUCAUGCCCCUCUAGGAGUGGCCUGACCAGCCAGGUGGAGAUUCCCUUCUCCUGACACCACAUCUGUUCUCACAGUGUCAGAAAGUGCACCCCAGCUUCCAGCACCUUUGCACACCUUCAGCCAGGGCAGCGGGAGCUCUCCUGGACCUUCUGAAUGUAAACUCCCUCCGGUCCCAGAUGAUAUAGACACAGAGGGAGGCCAUGGUCCUGCAUCCUGGCUCGUCUGUUCAAAGACUGUGUGACCUUGGGGAAGCUGCUUCACGCCUUCUGUAAAAUGGAAAUGGCACCACCACCCAGCACCCAUCAGAGCCCAGAGGAGUUAUGGCACCAUGCGUGGGACUCCCCAGCAAGGUGCUUGACCCCCAGAGGGGCUCAUUCAGUCUGUGCAGGUAAAAAGACCAAGAGGAAAGAGGAGGCAGUGACUGGAUUUUCAAGGGUAUAAGAGUGUACCUGUAGCCAAAAGGAAGUUGCUAAAAAUAGCAGAUAUUCUACAGAUGAUUUCAUAUUAAAUCUGCUCAAUUUACAAGUCAAAACCUUAUUACCUUCCUUUCCCACCCCUGCAGGCCUCGGGGAACCAGGCACAGAUGCACACAGUGCACGGAAGAGUGAGCCCUGGGCUUUAAUAGAAAUCAGCCACAUUCAGACACUCCAGAGAGAAGGGUUUGGCUCAUCAACCUGUAGACCCAACCCCUGGGUGUGCAAUGACAGUUUGAUUUGGAAAGAAUGCAGACAUUAGAAGCUGCAUGUGGGAGGAAGUGGCAUAGGGAGCAGAGAACAGAAAGGUUGAGAUGCAUUCCUCCAAAGAGGGGGGCAUCGACUAAUUUUAAGGCAAUGUUGAGGCAAUGGUUUUAAGCCUAUGAUGAAAAGAUGUUGAAAUAGCUAUUGAGAUGUCAGCGGUCAGACCCUAACAAGAAGGUAGUGAGAUACUCGGUCUUCAUAUAUAUUUAGUCCUCAACCUUACCUGCCCCUUCCCAGCCUCUAUUUCCCCUAAUACAGAAUCUGGAAAAUUAUUUGACAAACUCUUGCUCAAAGAUUGACCAGGAGACGAAUAUAACCCUGUAAUCAGGACUUGAAUCCAGACCAUUAGGAUUCUAGAACAGAGCUCAUUCUACCACAAUACCUUGCUUAUGCAAAAUUAGCCUGUCUUCUCAUUAAUAAAAGAAUAACAGGAGUAAGAAUAAUAAUAUAUAUUUUUAAGACCCCUGAUUUAGGGUUCUCAUAGCAUUGCAUCAUUCUAAUUAAUCCAUAUGCCUUUUUUUCCCUGGGACAGUCUCAGUUAAUAUCUAGUGUCCUAGCUUCCUAGCUGAAUUAAUAAUAGCAUCCCCAUUAAUUCUCAGAAGUGUCUGGCUUUGAACCAUAUAUUAUAUGAUUAUCCAACCCACAGCAACCCUAUAAGAUGUGACUUAUUGUCGCUUUCCAUUUACAAAUGAGGUGAUCAAGGAUGAGACAGAUUAUUCCAGCUAUUCAGCAGAGCAGUAUUCAAAUCUAGUCAAUCUAGAAUAGAGAGUGAGCUCUAAUCUCCCCCCAACCAUUUCCUACCAAAAUAAGUGGUUUUCAGAUAGUGUCCCUUAAACCCCAGGGCAGAAGCGAGGCAUUUUUUAGGAUUCACUGAAGGAACACAGGAAAACCAUAUGGGUGGGUCUUGGGGCUUUACCACCCCCACUGUCAACAGACCAAGCCUUCUUUAGAUUUUAUAGAUGGGGGUUCUCUGCAAGAGUUCCCUUGGGAAAAAAGGCUAAUAUUUAGAAAAAUGAACACGAUGAUUUUAUUUCUAUAUCACCACUUCCUAGAACAAUGCUAAGCACACAGAGUCUCCAGUUAAUACUAAAUAAUAGAAUGAACAAUAGCCCCUACCUAAUAACUCCCCAGGCUGAUGGAUACUUUGAAAAUGACUGACAUAAGCUUUCUGGUGAAGAAUCACAUUCACGUCAGAAUUCAUGAUCAAAAUAUUCAUGUCAGACCCACCCAACCCCAGCAUCAGAGGACAUAAUAUGGAAAUACAACAAAAGCCAUAAUUGCAGAAGGUAUCCCUGAGCUUACCUGGCCUUGUAGGAAGAGCAUACCCUUGGCAAGGCUAUAAGGAGGAGCCAUGAAUAUAUAUCGUCAUCCUUUGAAACUAUCUAGCUAACCAGUCCCAGGCCCCCUGCAGAGUGUUUGGCACUGUAUGAAGACUCAAUAAAUUUCAGAUGGGGGAAUGGAUGUUGGUGUGAAUGAGAUCCCUGAAUCUCUCUGGAGCUCGGGCUUUGGGUGUGCUGGAAGCCCCCACAGCAAGGCUUGGCUGGGAUUCUGUCUGAAAUCUGCCAAGGGAGCCUGGCUAAUGCUGAAGCCAGAGUCGCUCCUCAGAUAUUCCUGCUUGGAGGGGGCAGGAGAAAUGGAGUGUCCCAGGCCAACAGAUGCAAGGCAAUUGAUUCAGUCGCUUACUCCAGCCCCUGUCUAGAAUGACCUGCUACCAAAGAGCCCUUCUGGAAUAAGUGGAGAGCAGAAUGCAGUGCCGUGGAUCAACAGAGGGACCAGAGACUGGGUGAUAGACUUGAAGCCUGGUCAUUCCCAUAGUCUAAGAUCUCAGGAUCUCUCCCAGUUUAUCCCAGUCUCACCCUCCACCCACCACCAUUAGAAUGAUGUGGGAGGAAGGGAAGAUGAGAGGAGGAGGACUGAAGAGAUGAGUCAGUGAAAAGUAGGUCAGACUCCUACUCUCCUAGCAGAAUCCCAAGUGUGGAAGGAGCUGCCUGAUGCAAGCUGAGGAAUCCCCUGUAUUCCCUUAGCACAUUGUUGCUCAGCCUUUGUUUAAACCCAUCCAAGACAGGGAAUGUGCUACCUUUCAAGGCUGCCAGAGCCAUUUCCUCCUUGAGCUACCCACUGCCUCACUCUACACGUAGGGAAGUGUCCCAUCCCCCUAAUUUUAAACUACUCCAAAAUCCAUACAAUAGGUCUGUGUUCCAAAACACCAAAAUGUAUGAGAAAUAGUGUCUCCAAAUAAGGUUUGAAAACACUGCAAGACUAUAUGCAAUUUAUUUCCUACAGUUUGAUGACUUUGCUGAAACUGAACCAUCAACCAUUUUAAGAUCUCUGAUAAGAUUGCAAAGGACUGUGCACUUAAGAAACAACUUAGAAAUUCACAAAAUGUUUGGGAUUCAAAGGGAGAGGCUUAGCAAUCCUCUAAUUGGGCAUUUAUUUACAAAAUUAUAAACCUAGGCAAGCUUUUAUAUAAAAUAUUAACUGGGAUUAUAUCAAAAGAAGCUUCCAUGCUCAACCAAGUUUGGGACAUGUUAGGUCAAAUGUCUAGAUUGCAGGACUUCUCAGAGCCUUUGAGAUGAUGAUUCCCUCUGUAAUACUCUAAGCAGGACUAGUGCAGAAUGUCUCCCUAGCUCCCUUAAUUAUGGAAUUAUUAUUUUGUAGGUUAUUACCUGGACUGAUUGUCUAUGUUAUACUCUUUGAGAAAAGCUGAUCUAAGCUGAUCUACCAUCACUGCAACCUUAAAAUCAUUAAAACUUUCUGAGACUUGGUUGCUUUCUGUGCUAUUUCUGUCCUACCAAUGAAGACCAAGGUGGUGUAACUGUGGAAACCCUGAGCAGGCACACAGGAGGCACAGGGCACUCACGUCGCCUUUCUUUCCCAGUCAGUGACAGCCACGUGCUUAAAAGAAACCCAUCUGUUUACCAGCCCAGGUUAUGAGCCAAAUGCUGGUCCCAGUGACAAUCUCAUAUCUAUUUUCUCAGCCUUCAACAAAUAAGAAAGAAAAAUGGCCUUUUAACCUCAGCUGACAUAGCAAUGGGACCUGGAAAAGCAAUGGAUGAGAAUCUGUCUGUUCAAUGCAAUAUUUUCCUACAGAGAUAACAACCAAUUGCAUUUCCUUUCUUAAGAGCCAGUGAUGAAUGUGACUGAUGGGCAAGAAAUACCACUCCUGGGUAAUACAUUUUAGGGUAAAGCUAUGAUACCAAACUCACCCCAUCAUUUCUGAGAACGGUCUGGCUUAAGUGGAUCAUCACAGAAAGUAUCAGCAUUCUGGGAACUCAGGCAUGGUUUUCCCAGGUAAGCUCUGCUCUCCACAGAUAUUUAUUCUGCUCAGAUACCAGUCCGCUUACAAAGAGUUACCACUGUCUACUGUAUGCCUGUCCCUGGUGUGUGUGUGUCUGUGUGUGUGUGUGAGGAGGGUGGGAGGUGGAGACAGACAGAGACAGAGAGUGAGAACUGGUGCUGAAGUUCCACGGGCAAAAGGGCUCUUACGCAGAGAAAACAAAGAGAAGGAAUAGCUGCAGGUCAACUCCAAAAUCACUGGGGGCUUAGAAAUCCGCAGACUCAGCAGUACCUGGAACACUGCCUUUUCAACAGACUCAAUCCUUCCUUCCCUUGGGCGUGAAACACAAAGGGUAUUUCUGGUAUUGUAUAAAGGCCUAUGAAGUCAGGGCACUUAAUGACAAGGGAUUUCUCAGUUUUUCGUGGGAAAUAGAAUCCACAUUCAAGAAGUUAACUGGGAAGAAUGUUCAUUUCUGAUUCUGUGCUCAGCUCUUGAUGUUUUUGACCCAGGUGUGUAAGGACCAGAUGGCUUCUGUUUACUGUAGCUCACCUCAGGCAAAACCCACAAUUCUGUUAUGUCUGCACCCUCAAAUAACCAUUAUAAACAACAUAGCCAGAGACUCUGGGACCAGACCUUGCAUUCAGUGAUUCCCCUACAUUAACUCACCUCUAUGCAGAGAAGUAGGUGCUCCCUGUUGAAGAUGAUAAAACCAAGAUACAAAGAGAGUAAAUAACUUGGCCAAGGUCCAAAAGUAGGAAGGGACAGGACUGGAAUUCACUGUGGCAUUCUGACUCCAGAACUGCUGUUCUCAGUCACUAUACUACACUACCAAGGUUAUCAUCCCAGUGCAAAAGUGAAUAAUGCAAGUUAAAUUAGAAUUUGUGAGGAAAUGAGCACUAUGGACUGAAUGUUUGUGUUUUCCAAACAAUUCACAUGGUAAAGCCCUAACCCCUGAUGUGAUGGUUUUUGGAGGUGGAGUUUUGGGGAGGCCAUUAGAUCAUGAAGGUGGAAACUCUCAAGGGAGAUGAGUGACCUUACAAGAAGAGACAUGAAAGAGAUGAUCUUUCUCUCUGCCACGUGAGGACACAGCAAAAAGACGGCCAUCUGCAAACUGAAGCAGGCCCUUACUAAAUGGCAAAUCAGCUCGUACCUUGAUCGUGGAGACCCCAGCCUCAGAACUGUGAGAAAUAAGUGUUUGCUGUUUAAGCCAUCCUGUCUAUGGUAUUUGUUAUAGCAUCCUGAACUAAAAUGAGAAAAUAUUUAUCUCACUUACUCCACAGCAAAACAUACUGAUGAUCCAAUGAGACAACUCCUUACCAGUUCCUUUCCAGAGGCAAACCCCUUCUCUCCCUCUUCCCAUUCAACCCUUCAAAUGUCCAGACAAAGCCCUCUCACCUUCCAUUCCCAUGCUUUUACGUGAGAGAACCAGCCCUGCAGGUAGACAGACCCAUCACCAACCUUGGAGAACAACCCGGAUAUCAUUCAUGAUAUCCAAGUCAAGUCUAUUGGGAGGGUUCAUUCAAACAGGUCACCAAAUUGUUGAUUCUCAACAACAUAGAGUUCUUCAUACAAAAAGGAGUCUGCUGCUAUGAAAUAUAAAGUUUCCUCAUAUUGUUACACAGGGAUUAUUUGAUUUAAUCCUUAUAACAAUCUAUAAAAAAUUCAUAAAUGUUUAUCUCUGCUCUGCAGAUAAGAAAACUGAGCUAGAGAAGGUUGACAAGGCAUCCCAAUACCAAUGGAGAGUGGGGCUGGACCAUGACCUUUUGCUCUAGGCAGAGCAACCCUGAAAACUUGGUCCCUUUAGCACAUUCUGUGCCUCUUCUGAAUGGUUAUCUGCCCAUUCCCCUCCCCCAAAGACCUACACCUCAGUGUUCCUCCAGUGUUUCAUGCAGCAAAUUUUCUAAGCUGUUCAUUGGUAUGAGGCAGAGGUUCUCAACUAGAUGUCGGAGGCAACUUUGCCAGCAAUGUCUGAAAACAUUUUUUAAUUUUCAAUACUGGAGGGAGCCAUCAGCAUUUAGUGUGUAGAAGACAGAUGUGUGGAUAAACAUCCUAACAUGAAUAGGGAAGUACUUGCACAACAAUAGUAUUAAGGUUGAGAAAUCCUAGGAACAGGAUACACAAAGAAAAUUAUAGGUAAUCUUACACCAUUUUGAGUGAUUUUCUUAUAUUCAAUUAUAGGUAUACCUUGGUGAUGUUGCAGGUUCAGUGCCAGACCACCACAAUAAAGCAAAUAUCACUAAAUAUUUGCUACUUAAAUAAAAUAAAUAAAUAAUAAAAAUAACUAUUCAUGGAUUUUUUUGGUUUCUCAGUGCAUAUAAAAGUUAUGUUCGCACUAUAAUGUAGUCUAUUAAGUGUGCAAUGCCAUUAUGUUUAAUUAAAAAAAUGCACACAUCUUAUUUAAAACUAUGUUAUUGCUAAAAAAUUAUAAUAAUCAUCUGAACCUUCAGUGAGCCA
rnacentral:lncRNA from 10 species